GCCCCGCAGUUCAGGGGGAGAGCGCCUGAUCGUCGAUCGGGAGGGCGUCGGUUCGAUUCCGGCCGGGGUCG
rnacentral:tRNA from 1 species